CAGCCCCUAAAAAGGGAAAAAAUUUAAAAUUUACUUAGACAAAUGUGAUGUCAUCAAAGGAACCCUAAGUAA
rnacentral:snoRNA from 1 species